AUUGAACGCUGGCGGCAUGCUUUACACAUGCAAGUCGAACGGCAGCACGGACUUCGGUCUGGUGGCGAGUGGCGAACGGGUGAGUAAUACAUCGGAACGUGCCCAGUUGUGGGGGAUAACUACUCGAAGGAGUAGCUAAUACCGCAUGAAAACGGAGGUUGAAAGCAGGGGAGCGUAAGACCUUGCGCAACUGGAGCGGCCGAUGGCAGAUUAGGUUGUUGGUGAGAUAAAAGCUUACCAAGCCGACGAUCUGUAGCUGGUCUGAGAGGACGACCAGCCACACUGGGACUGAGACACGGCCCAGACUCCUACGGGAGGCAGCAGUGGGGAAUUUUGGACAAUGGGCGAAAGCCUGAUCCAGCAAUGCCGCGUGCAGGAUGAAGGCCUUCGGGUUGUAAACUGCUUUUGUACGGAACGAAAAGCUUCGGGUUAAUACCCUGGAGUCAUGACGGUACCGUAAGAAUAAGCACCGGCUAACUACGUGCCAGCCGCCGCUGUAA
rnacentral:rRNA from 1 species